GAUGAACGCUGGCGGCGUGCCUAAUACAUGCAAGUCGAGCGAACAGACGAGUAGCUUGCUCCUCUGACGUUAGCGGCGGACGGGUGAGUAACACGUGGAUAACCUACCUAUAAGACUGGGAUCACUUCGGGAAACGGGUGCUAAUACCGGCUAAUAUAUUGAACCGCAUGGGUCAAUAGUGAAAGACGGCUUUGCUUUCACUUAUAGAUGGAUCCGCGCCGCAUUAGCUAGUUGGUCAGGUAACGGCCUACCAAGGCAACGAUGCGUAGCUGGCCUGAGAGGAUGAUCGGCCACACUGGAACUGAGACACGGUCCAGACUCCUACGGGAGGCAGCAGUGGGGAAUGUUGGACAAUGGGCGAAAGCCUGACCCAGCAAUGCCGCGUGUGUGAAGAAGGCCUUCGGAUUGUAAAGCACUUUUAUUAGGAAAGAAAAACUGGGUCAGAAUACGUGCAGGGGUUGACGGUACCUAAAGAAUAAGCACCGGCUAACUACGUG
rnacentral:rRNA from 1 species